GCCGGAGUGGUGGAAUUUGGUAGACACGCCAGACUUAGGAUCUGGUGCCUUCGGGCGUGGGGGUUCAAGUCCCCCCUUCGGCA
rnacentral:tRNA from 1 species